AGAGAGAGAGAGAGAGAGAGAGAGAGAGAUAUCUGCUGUCUGUGUUUACAUUUCGUGGUCGGUAGUUGACAUUUCGCUCGCUGUAGAUUUGCGUGUUUUUCAUGUAUUUUCCGGUCUCUAACGCCGCCAAUACAGUGGCGGCAGGCAGUGUGUGUGUGUGUGUGUGUGUGUGUGUGUGUGUGUGCGCGACAAAGAGAGACGGACAGAGAGAAGGGGGGAUGAACAUAAGGGCAGGAGGAGUAUUUUGGUCAGCACUGGUCAGUCUUGCCCCAUACACACACACACACACACACACACACACUAGUGACCAGUGUUUCCAUAUUCCCUGGAGCUUCCUCCUGCAUUAAACACCACCAAGCAUCAUCAAAGAGACACGACUGCUUAAUGACAGUGAUGGAAGCAGAAUGUUUUCCUCGGCAUUGGUCAGUCUUAACACACACACACACACACACACACAGACACUAGUGACCAGUGCUUCCAUAUUCCCUGCAGCUUCCUCCUGCAUCAAACACCACCAAGCAUCACUAGAGAGACACGGCUACUUAAUGUAAUGUGAGUACAGCAAUGACUGCCUCGGUUAACAUCACCGCCUACACCAUAACACUCAACCCUUCCUCCUCCCUCCAGUAGCGUCUUUCAGUUCUUCAUUAUUAUUCGUUAUUAGGGUACUUUUUGAGAUUAUCGAUUUAUAUUUUACUUAUGUUUAUAUCUGAGUCGCGAUAUAGCUUGAAAUUUAGUAAAAAAUAAUGAAGGAUCGUCAAAAUGACAUCUGCGGUAGACAUAGGUCGUCCCUAUUCAGCCAUUAUUUGCUUUAUUUAUCACGUAUUGUAAGCCAAACAUGUCACAAAAUGUAGCCUCAGUUCGAAUUUUCAUGUCCGCCUGUGAGGUAUAUCGCCAUUGCCUGGCUUUAGUGUGAUAACAGAGUAAUUAAGGCAAAUUAGCGGCCGCCAUGUUUGAUCUCUACAGGCCCCAGCCUGCUCUUCGGUUCCAAUAUAUUUUCGUUUUCCUUAACUCUUUAAGUUCGGUUUCUAAGUAAUUUUUUAUGGUUUGUAUAAAUGUUUCGUUGCUUAUGAAGUGGUUUUGAGGCUUUUGUUAAGGAAAUGUGUUGUAUUUGCUGUUGUUUAUAACGUAACUAUAGGCCUGUUUUUGGGCUGAAUUUUACGGAACCCCAUUGUUGGCUUUUUUAUUCGAGGCUAUAAUGAAGUUCUUUAUACUUUAAAAAAUCGCUUAUGAUUUUUAAACCGGUUUGCCGUCCUGUUGAGUUAAAUAUGUGGACUUUAAAAUGAUUUGUGGUCCUGUUAAAAGUCGAAAUGUUGACAUUUUUUAUUUCCUUAUUUCCUUAUUUGAGCUUUUAAGUAACUCUAGGUUAUUUGAAAAAAUAGUUCAGAUUUUUUAAAGUGCUUUGCAUUGCUAUUAAGUUAAAAUGGGUGGACUUUUCAAUGUUUUUUAUUCGUGUUUAGGUUCCAACACUUUUUUUUACAGAUUUAUUUUUCAUUCGUUUACUUCUGGUUCUAGGUAAGUUUUAAUUGAUUGAAAAGAUAGUUCAUAUUUUUAAAGUGUUUUUAUUUCUGUUAAGUGAAAAAAUAGGUAGACUUUUCAAUGGUUUUAAUGGGGUCAAAUGUUCCAACGUUUUUUUCAUAAUUCAUAUUGAUAUUUCUUUCAUACUACUGAGGCUGGAGAUGUUAUAAUAUUAUGAAUAUUUAUUAAAGUAAUUAUCAAGUCAGAAUAUAUAAUGCAUUCCAACGUAGCUCCAUUUUUUCUAUGGGUCAAUUUUAAAAUGAAAUACGUUACGCACGUAUCCUGGCGUGACGUCACGACCUCAGGUGUGACGUCAUCAGGGGGCCAGGGGGGGUCUCUGCCACAGACCCUUAUCUUCAAUAUUUCGAGUAAUUUCUAGUAUUUUUGACGUUUUUCCGUGUGUUUCUUAACUCAGGCAUGUAGAUAGUAGUUGUAGGAGGAAGAAAAAAGGAUAAAUAGGGAAGGAGGAGGAAAAAGAAAGGAGAAAUGAAGGAGGCAAAACAGGGAAAUCCUAAGACAACAAUAUUUAGCUUAGUUUUCUAUGCUGCCCUUUCUUUCUUUGUAAUAUUUUCUUUGCCUGAGAGUGUCAGACUUUUUAAUGUGUUUGGAUGCGUUUUUUAGGUGAUUGAGUGUGUUUGGCGUGUUUUGGGUGCAUUUUGGUUUGUUCGGGUUUGUUUUGUAGGUGUUUGAAUAUGUUCGUGGGUGUAUUUUUUGUGUGUUUGGAGGUGUUUUGAGUGUGUUCUGGUGGUUUUAGGGUAUUUUGGAAUGUUUUAGAUGAUCUUGGCUGCUUUUUAAAGUGAUUUUGGGUGUUUUGAGUGUGUUUUGGGGUGAGCCAGGGAGGCAGGAGGGAAUGGUUAGGUCAGGUUGUGGGCUGGUUAGGGAUUAUUUGGGUGUGGUUUGAGGUUAACUGAGGUAUUUUGAGACUGGUUAGGAUUUUUUAUGUGUGUAUUGGGGUGUUUUGUGUGUGUUUGCAUGUGUUUUA